rnacentral:lncRNA from 1 species
CAGGCUACUUCCCAGAAAUUUGGUGGCUGCCUCUGUGCUAUGAUUUGAUUGCUACCUGCUGAAGCUUCAACCUCUCAUCACUACCAGAAGGGCCACAUCACUAAAAGUCCAUCAAAGGGGUUACUCACUUUGAUGGGCCUGUGCAGUGUCAUUCAGGAAGCCCGUGGUACUCACAUCACUCUGGCCAGACGCUAACAAGAAAAUGAUCCACUGUGACGCAGCCGACCCCAUCCAGUGCAUCCACAUUACCUGGAAAGAAGCAAUUAUGCCCCUUUGGUUUCCUUGGAAAUGCUUGGUCUGUCUCUACCAUCCGCCCUGGCUCUUGAGAAAUACUCAUGCACGGUAGAGCUUUGACAGGGAGACAAUGUGUUUAUUUUCCAACUGAAAGUUUACAGAAUACAAAGUGAGCCUGUAAGAUGGUGGCCACUCUCCAGAGGCUUGUUGGUCAGACAGGAAAGAAAACCAGUGCACCAUCAGGAACGUGGAGGAGGCUGAAAGAGAGGGACAAACAUAUUGGAUUGGAUCGGGCCCCCACAGUCAAGUUCCUGCAAACCAAGCUGGGAGAUUUUCCUGACUAAGGGUUAUGUUCUUGGGCCUCAAAGGUGAGAAGAAAAAUCAAUUAAAGAUACUGUGUAUAUUUAUACACUCUUUUGGCAUUAUAAACUGUAACACAUACAUUUUUCAGUCCAUAAAGAACAGGCUGCAUCAGCA